ensembl:lncRNA
CCUGCCAUAGAUGAUCUCCACGUCUUCCUCGUCUGGUCUCGUCUCUCUGUGUAUGAGGACUUACCUGUCUUCAAUCAGUCUUCCCUAAAACCUCCACUACACACCUGUCAGCACCUGUAACAAACAACUGUUUAUGCUCAAGUGUCAGAGAUCAGAAUGACGAGGAGGAAGGAGGCGACGGUCACACUGAGAGAGAGAGAGAGAGAGAGAGAGAGAAACAGGAAAACAUGACAGGGAUCCGACUGGAAAAGGAUGAGCUCUCAUGCAUGAAGACAACUGCCCCGCGCUGAUAGAAGACAUGCUACAGAGUGUCAGACGUGCCAGGAUAGGAGGCUGGAAACAGCUUCACUAGAGAGAGCAGCUGCACGGCGCUCAGAAACAAAGUGGACAGCGUCCAAAACCACUUUACCAACUGGCCAGCUGGGACGAAAACCACAUCGAGCCGGCCAAGCUGUGUGACAUUAGUCCAGGAACAUUGGUCAUGAGGUACUCUGGACAUAUCAUUUGAUAAAAACUUAAGAAUAAAGCCCAGCCAUCUGUAGAGUUUGAGUAUGAAUGCAAAUGCUCUUUGUUUUAGGGUUGCACAUUCAAGUGCAGGUGACAGAAGGCUGAAAAAAUUAUGCUUUUAGAAAUCAAAAGAGUGUUUCACGCUACACUUUAUGUGAUGCAAACCCCGAAUGACCCGGUGCUCAGACAUGGUAUUGCAACAUGGAACCAAUCAUAAAAGGCC